rnacentral:rRNA from 1 species
GAGUUUGAUCAUGCGCUCAGAUUGAACGCUGGCGGCAGGCCUAACACAUGCAAGUCGAGCGGUAGAGAGGAGCUUGCUUCUCUUGAGAGCGGCGGACGGGUGAGUAAUGCCUAGGAAUCUGCCUAGUGGUGGGGGAUAACGUUCGGAAACGGACGCUAAUACCGCAUACGUCCUACGGGAGAAAGCGGGGGAUCUUCGGACCUCGCGCCAUUAGAUGAGCCUAGGUCGGAUUAGCUAGUUGGUGAGGUAAUGGCUCACCAAGGCGACGAUCCGUAACUGGUCUGAGAGGAUGAUCAGUCACACUGGAACUGAGACACGGUCCAGACUCCUACGGGAGGCAGCAGUGGGGAAUAUUGGACAAUGGGCGAAAGCCUGAUCCAGCCAUGCCGCGUGUGUGAAGAAGGUCUUCGGAUUGUAAAGCACUUUAAGUUGGGAGGAAGGGUCGUAACCUAAUACGUUACGGCUUUGACGUUACCGACAGAAUAAGCACCGGCUAACUUCGUGCCAGCAGCCGCGGUAAUACGAAGGGUGCAAGCGUUAAUCGGAAUUACUGGGCGUAAAGCGCGCGUAGGUGGUUCAGCAAGUUGGAUGUGAAAGCCCUGGGCUCAACCUGGGAACUGCAUCCAAAACUACUGAGCUAGAGUACGGUAGAGGGUAGUGGAAUUUCCUGUGUAGCGGUGAAAUGCGUAGAUAUAGGAAGGAACACCAGUGGCGAAGGCGACUACCUGGACUGAUACUGACACUGAGGUGCGAAAGCGUGNGGAGCAAACAGGAUUAGAUACCCUGGUAGUCCACGCCGUAAACGAUGUCGACUAGCCGUUGGGAUCCUUGA